rnacentral:tRNA from 2 species
AGUUAAUGAACUUGUAUAAGUAUAUAUUUUGAAAAUAUAAAAAAGAGUAAAAAUCUCUAUUAACUU